rnacentral:rRNA from 1 species
UACGUAGGGUGCAAGCGUUAAUCGGAAUUACUGGGCGUAAAGCGCACGUAGGCGGCUUUGUAAGUUAGAGGUGAAAGCCCGGAGCUCAACUCCGGAAUUGCCUUUAAGACUGCAUCGCUAGAAUUGUGGAGAGGUGAGUGGAAUUCCGAGUGUAGAGGUGAAAUUCGUAGAUAUUCGGAAGAACACCAGUGGCGAAGGCGACUCACUGGACACAUAUUGACGCUGAGGUGCGAAAGCGUGGGGAGCAAACAGG